AGCGGAGAAAGGUUCCAUGUGAACAGCAAUUGGACAUGGGUUAGUCGAUCCUAAGGCUCAGAGUAACUCCGUUAUAAGGCGGGCUUUUUUCGGAAAGCCCCGGUGGCCGAAAGGGAAGAAGGUUAAAAUUCCUUCACCUGGACGUGGAUAACGAGUGGUAACACAAGCAAAACUGGAGACGUCGGCUGGAGUCCCGGGAAGAGUUCUCUUUUCUUGUUAACAGUUCCGCAGGCCCUGGAAUCGGAUUAUCCGGCGAUAGGGUCUGGUGGCUGGGAAAGCAGCUUAAUCUUUGAGCUGUCCGGUGCUCUCCAGACGGCCCUUGAAAAUCCGGUGGCGUGACUUAUUUACACCCCAGGUCGUACUCAUAACCGCAUCAGGUCUCCAAGGUGAGUAGCCUCUAGUCGAUAGAGUAAUGUGGAUAAGGGAAGUCGGCAAAAUAGAUCCGUAACCUCGGGAAAAGGAUUGGCUCUGAGGGUUGGGCCUAGGGGUCUUGGGAACGAAGGA
rnacentral:rRNA from 11 species